GGAAUCCACUCAUUCCGCUCCAGCCAUUACCAUGAGCCCGUCCUCCCCAAUUAAGGUGCCACCAACAGAACAGCGGUCUCAAACCCUAUUUCUGGAGAGCUACCCUCCUGAGUGCUGAGUUUGGUCUCGUGUGGGCCGGUCAGAGAAUACGACAACGACGACACCGCAGUCGAGCCACAAUCCCAAUCCUCCGAGCCCACUCGGCAGCAUACAUCAAAGUCCUGUUUCAUUUAAACCCUAUUUCAUGCAUUCAUUUCAUGGUGGUGCUCUUGUCAAAGCGCGGGUUUCGGGGAUGAACGUAACCCAGGUUUAUAAGGCUUAG
rnacentral:lncRNA from 1 species